rnacentral:rRNA from 1 species
AACGCUAGCUACAGGCUUAACACAUGCAAGUCGAGGGGCAGCAUGAACUUAGCUUGCUAAGUUUGAUGGCGACCGGCGCACGGGUGAGUAACACGUAUCCAACCUGCCGAUGACUCGGGGAUAGCCUUUCGAAAGAAAGAUUAAUACCCGAUGGCAUAGUUCUUCCGCAUGGUAGAACUAUUAAAGAAUUUCGGUCAUCGAUGGGGAUGCGUUCCAUUAGGUUGUUGGCGGGGUAACGGCCCACCAAGCCUUCGAUGGAUAGGGGUUCUGAGAGGAAGGUCCCCCACAUUGGAACUGAGACACGGUCCAAACUCCUACGGGAGGCAGCAGUGAGGAAUAUUGGUCAAUGGACGAGAGUCUGAACCAGCCAAGUAGCGUGAAGGAUGACUGCCCUAUGGGUUGUAAACUUCUUUUAUACGGGAAUAAAGUGAGGCACGUGUGCCUUUUUGUAUGUACCGUAUGAAUAAGGAUCGGCUAACUCCGUGCCAGCAGCCGCGGUAAUACGGAGGAUCCGAGCGUUAUCCGGAUUUAUUGGGUUUAAAGGGAGCGUAGGCGGACGCUUAAGUCAGUUGUGAAAGUUUGCGGCUCAACCGUAAAAUUGCAGUUGAUACUGGGUGUCUUGAGUACAGUAGAGGCAGGCGGAAUUCGUGGUGUAGCGGUGAAAUACUUAGAUAUCACGAAGAACUCCGAUUG